GACGAACGCUGGCGGCGUGCUUAAUACAUGCAAGUCGAACGGAAAGGCCCUGCUUUUGUGGGGUGCUCGAGUGGCGAACGGGUGAGUAACACGUGAGUAACCUGCCCUUGACUUUGGGAUAACUUCAGGAAACUGGGGCUAAUACCGGAUAGGAGCUCCUGCUGCAUGGUGGGGGUUGGAAAGUUUCGGCGGUUGGGGAUGGACUCGCGGCUUAUCAGCUUGUUGGUGGGGUAGUGGCUUACCAAGGCUUUGACGGGUAGCCGGCCUGAGAGGGUGACCGGGGAGAUUGGGGGGGGGGUGGGGCGGGGGGGGGGGGGGGGGGGAGGGGGGGGGAGGGGGGGGGGAGGGGGGGGGGGGGGAUGGAGGGGCGCCGCGUGCGGGAUGACGGCCUUCGGGUUGUAAACCGCUUUCGCCUGUGACGAAGCGUGAGUGACGGUAAUGGGUAAAGAAGCACCGGCUAACUACGUG
rnacentral:rRNA from 1 species